rnacentral:lncRNA from 1 species
AAAAUGUUAUACACAUUAUCGUCGUAAGUCUUCUUAAAAAGUUGUGAAAAUUAUCUGCACACAUGAGCAUAUAUCACAACAAAUGCUUGCCAUUUUAGUUUGUUUUUUUACAUAUUACCAAAAGCUUAUUGUGAUGAAUCGGGAUCACAUCAUCGACACACUUUUACUUGAAUUUCACAAAAAUAUUAAUUGAGAAUUCAUCAAACAUAUUGUAAACAACACGCGUAAAUUUUGGUUCUAAGCAGCAAAAUAAUAGAGGAGAACCUGUCUUAGAUAACGGGAUAUUAUUCGAGCCAAGAAUCUGAAGCUUGUCUUCUCCCGUCAUAUCUUCAACAGAUUGUUUAAUCUCCAGAGCUGAAUCUUCCAGUUGAGGGCUCUUUACAAGUUUGAUAAUUUUUAAUGAACCAAAAUCCCCAAAAUUAGGUGGAAUCUCUGUAAGCUUACGACAUCCCAACAGUAGUAAUUUCUCAAGCACGGGUUUCUCUUCCCCGGACACCGAACAAAGGAAAGGAUUCCUCUCCAAACCCCCACUUAGAAAGAGUCACUUCUCGCAACCCCAAAUAUUUGAGAUUCUCAAAAGUUUCUGAAUGACUUCAGUACCUGAAGAGUUUUCGCAUGUUUGUGAUGAUGUAUUUUAUUGAAGAUUUACAAGAACUUGAGCAAAACUUAGAUAUCAGAUAACUUUCAUAUUGUAGAGAGGCUAUCAAUAGCAGACAGUAGGCAACUCCAUGUAUGUUUCAAAGAGAAACUUACAGUUGCAAUUGCCAGCGUUCUGUGGCAGCAAACUCUCAGAGCUAUCCCACUACGUUAAUUUACACACACAAAAGUCGGGGUUGAUUUUCCUAAUUACCUUAAAGCUUAGUGUGAUGAAAGUUCACAAACAGACAGUUCAGUUGAGACUAACAAUAAGAGCAGAAAUAAAAGAAUAGAGAA